ACAUGACUUUGGUCUCCGUCCUCAUCUGGACUCUCCUCUGCUGCUGCUUCACAGAGUCCAGAGGCCAGAUCACAGUGACUCAGUCUGGAGCAGUGAGCUCUGCUCUGGGAGCCUCCGUCUCCAUCAGCUGUAGGGUCAGUCAGCAGGUUCAGAGCUGUAGCAGUGCUUACUGUUUACACUGGUACCAACAGAAAGAUGGAGAAACUACUAAACUACUCAUUCGCUACACCAACGAGAGAAUGUCGGGGAUUCCAGGUCGUUUUAGUGGAAGUGGAUCUGGGACUGAUUUCACUCUGACCAUCAGUGGAGUUCAGGCUGAAGAUGCAGCAGUUUACUACUGUCAGAGUUAUCAUAACAUCAACAGUCAGCUUGUGUUCACACGUUCAUCAGGACAAAUCAUCCUGACUCAGUCUCCUGGAUCUCAGUCUGCUGUUCCAGGACAGGCUGUCUCUCUCAAAUGUAAAACCAGUACAGGUGUUUAUAGUUAUGGUUACAACUUUUGA